UCCAGACUCCUACGGGAGGCAGCAGUGGGGAAUAUUGCACAAUGGGGGAAACCCUGAUGCAGCGACGCCGCGUGAAGGAUGAAGUAUUUCGGUAUGUAAACUUCUAUCAGCAGGGAAGAAAAUGACGGUACCUGACUAAGAAGCCCCGGCUAACUACGUGCCAGCAGCCGCGGUAAUACGUAGGGGGCAAGCGUUAUCCGGAUUUACUGGGUGUAAAGGGAGCGUAGACGGCAUGGCAAGUCUGAUGUGAAAACCCGGGGCUCAACCCCGGGACUGCAUUGGAAACUGUCAGGCUAGAGUGUCGGAGAGGCAAGUGGAAUUCCAGGUGUAGGAGUGAAAUCCGUAGAUAUCUGGAGGAACAUCAGUGGCGAAGGCGACUAUCUGGCACAUAACUGACGCUGAGGAGCGAAAGCGUGGGUAGCAAACAGGAUUAGAUACCCGAGUACAU
rnacentral:rRNA from 1 species